rnacentral:misc_RNA from 1 species
GAUGAAGAACGCAGCGAAAUGCGAUAAGUAGUGUGAAUUGCAGAAUUCAGUGAAUCAUCGAAUCUUUGAACGCACAUUGCGCCCCUUGGUAUUCCAUGGGGCAUGCCUGUUCGAGCGUCAUUUGUACCCUCAAGCUUUGCUUGGUGUUGGGUGUUUGUCCCGCGUUGCGCGUGGACUCGCCUUAAAGCGAUUGGCAGCCGGCAUAUUGGCCUUGGAGCGCAGCACAUUUUGCGCUUCUAGUCAUGAAUGUUGGCGUCCAUUAAGCCUAUACAUUUGCUCUUGACCUCGGAUCAGGUAGGGAUACCCGCUGAACUUAAGCAUAUCAAUAAGCGGAGA